rnacentral:lncRNA from 1 species
AACGUUUCUCAGGUUCCUGGGUGUGCUCAUUUACAUAGUCGGGAAGGACACAGGCCUGUGGCUUUUUCAACCUGCCAGCUCGACCCGGACCUGGUCCUCUCCAUCCGGGACCCUUUCACCGCAGUCUUCACAGGAUGGGACCUCAGCGACUCCACCGACUCCACCAUGAAGUCCCACCUGUUUCCUGAUCCGAAGCUUCUCGGCUGUGCGCGUUGCUUUACACCUCGGCACUUGAAUAUUCAUGCUCACCUUUAAAUGCAAUUAAAGCCAAGGUCACAAAAGGACAAAUUUGAAAGUUGAAACACACUCCCAAGUGCCUUGGGAGGCUGAGGCUGGAUGAUCACCAGUUUGAACUUAGCAAGAUCCCAUCUCAAAAGACACACACAAAAAAAGGUAAAGAGAGCUAGAGAGGUAGCUCAGUAGUCCCUGGGUUCAAUCGAUAAUACCAUGAAGCACAUGCACACACAGGCACGCAUGCACCAGCAACCAGCAAUCAGCAGAGGCACCACUGCUGGAACACUGUGAUGUUUCCGAUGUCUUGGGCCAGAGCUUUUUGUAUUUUGGAAUGGCAGGUAAGGGACUAUGGAUCUGUUCUACCAGGAAUCAGAAUGAAAAGACGGAACUGAGGUCCUUGAGCACCCACAGCCUGCGAGCGACAGACCAGAG